rnacentral:rRNA from 1 species
CUAUACAUGCAGUCGAGCGGACAGAUGGGAGCUUGCUCCCUGAUGUUAGCGGCGGACGGGUGAGUAACACGUGGGUAACCUGCCUGUAAGACUGGGAUAACUCCGGGAAACCGGGGCUAAUACCGGAUGGUUGUUUGAACCGCAUGGUUCAGACAUAAAAGGUGGCUUCGGCUACCACUUACAGAUGGACCCGCGGCGCAUUAGCUAGUUGGUGAGGUAACGGCUCACCAAGGCGACGAUGCGUAGCCGACCUGAGAGGGUGAUCGGCCACACUGGGACUGAGACACGGCCCAGACUCCUACGGGAGGCAGCAGUAGGGAAUCUUCCGCAAUGGACGAAAGUCUGACGGAGCAACGCCGCGUGAGUGAUGAAGGUUUUCGGAUCGUAAAGCUCUGUUGUUAGGGAAGAACAAGUGCCGUUCAAAUAGGGCGGCACCUUGACGGUACCUAACCAGAAAGCCACGGCUAACUACGUGCCAGCAGCCGCGGUAAUACGUAGGUGGCAAGCGUUGUCCGGAAUUAUUGGGCGUAAAGGGCUCGCAGGCGGUUUCUUAAGUCUGAUGUGAAAGCCCCCGGCUCAACCGGGGAGGGUCAUUGGAAACUGGGGAACUUGAGUGCAGAAGAGGAGAGUGGAAUUCCACGUGUAGCGGUGAAAUGCGUAGAGAUGUGGAGGAACACCAGUGGCGAAGGCGACUCUCUGGUCUGUAACUGACGCUGAGGAGCGAAAGCGUGGGGAGCGAACAGGAUUAGAUACCCUGGUAGUCCACGCCGUAAACGAUGAGUGCUAAGUGUUAG